GACUGUAAUUCAACUCUUGAACUGCAGCCCUUUUCUCUUCGUUUCUCGCUAUAGAAGAACAACUCACCUCUUGGCAUGUAGAAGGACGAGACACCCAACUCUUAGGCAUUGGAAAGAGAAGAGAGAGAGGGUGUGGCAUGGAGAGGAGAGAUAGAGAGAUCUGGUUUUUAAUAAAAAUAACUAACUUCUAAAACCUUAGGAGACCUUCUCUUUAUAUAAAUCUUUUCUUGAUUCAAAUCAGGAACCAAUUAACUUAAAAAGG
rnacentral:lncRNA from 1 species